rnacentral:rRNA from 1 species
AUGAACGCUGGCGGCGUGCCUAAUACAUGCAAGUCGAGCGAACAGACGAGGAGCUUGCUCCUCUGACGUUAGCGGCGGACGGGUGAGUAACACGUGGAUAACCUACCUAUAAGACUGGGAUAACUUCGGGAAACCGGAGCUAAUACCGGAUAAUAUAUUGAACCGCAUGGUUCAAUAGUGAAAGACGGUUUUGCUGUCACUUAUAGAUGGAUCCGCGCCGCAUUAGCUAGUUGGUAAGGUAACGGCUUACCAAGGCAACGAUGCGUAGCCGACCUGAGAGGGUGAUCGGCCACACUGGAACUGCGACACGGUCCAGACUCCUACGGGAGGCAGCAGUAGGGAAUCUUCCGCAAUGGGCGAAAGCCUGACGGAGCAACGCCGCGUGAGUGAUGAAGGUCUUCGGAUCGUAAAACUCUGUUAUUAGGGAAGAACAAAUGUGUAAGUAACUAUGCACGUCUUGACGGUACCUAAUCAGAACGCCACGGCUAACUACGUG